UAGGGAAUCUUCGGCAAUGGACGAAAGUCUGACCGAGCAACGCCGCGUGAGUGAAGAAGGUUUUCGGAUCGUAAAACUCUGUUGUUAGAGAAGAACAAGGACGUUAGUAACUGAACGUCCCCUGACGGUAUCUAACCAGAAAGCCACGGCUAACUACGUGCCAGCAGCCGCGGUAAUACGUAGGUGGCAAGCGUUGUCCGGAUUUAUUGGGCGUAAAGCGAGCGCAGGCGGUUUCUUAAGUCUGAUGUGAAAGCCCCCGGCUCAACCGGGGAGGGUCAUUGGAAACUGGGAGACUUGAGUGCAGAAGAGGAGAGUGGAAUUCCAUGUGUAGCGGUGAAAUGCGUAGAUAUAUGGAACACCAGUGGCGAAGGCGGCUCUCUGGUCUGUAACUGACGCUGAGGCUCGAAAGCGUGGGGAGCAAACAGG
rnacentral:rRNA from 1 species